rnacentral:rRNA from 1 species
CAUUCACGGAGAGUUUGAUCCUGGCUCAGGACGAACGCUGGCGGCGUGCUUAACACAUGCAAGUCGAACGAUGAAGCCUCUUCGGGGGUGGAUUAGUGGCGAACGGGUGAGUAACACGUGGGCAAUCUGCCCUGUACUUCGGGACAAGCCCUGGAAACGGGGUCUAAUACCGGAUGGGACUGCCGGCCGCAUGGUCUGGUGGUGGAAAGCUUCGGCGGUACAGGAUGAGCCCGCGGCCUAUCAGCUUGUUGGUGGGGUGAUGGCCUACCAAGGCGACGACGGGUAGCCGGCCUGAGAGGGCGACCGGCCACACUGGGACUGAGACACGGCCCAGACUCC